rnacentral:tRNA from 1 species
GAGGGUAUAGCUCAGUGGUAGAGUGCAUGCCUAGUAUGCACAACGUCCUGAGUUCAAUCCCCAGUACCUCCA